AGUGAACGCUGGCGGUAGGCCUAACACAUGCAAGUCGAACGGCAGCACAGUAAGAGCUUGCUCUUACGGGUGGCGAGUGGCGGACGGGUGAGGAAUACAUCGGAAUCUACUUUUUCGUGGGGGAUAACGUAGGGAAACUUACGCUAAUACCGCAUACGACCUACGGGUGAAAGCAGGGGAUCUUCGGACCUUGCGCGAUUGAAUGAGCCGAUGUCGGAUUAGCUAGAUGGCGGGGUAAAGGCCCACCAAGGCGACGAUCCGUAGCUGGUCUGAGAGGAUGAUCCGCCACACUGGAACUGAGACACGGUCCAGACUCCUACGGGAGGCAGCAGUGGGGAAUAUUGGACAAUGGGCGCAAGCCUGAUCCAGCCAUACCGCGUGGGUGAAGAAGGCCUUCGGGUUGUAAAGCCCUUUUGUUGGGAAAGAAAAGCAGCAGGUUAAUACCCCGCUGUUCUGACGGUACCCAAAGAAUAAGCACCGGCUAACUUCGUG
rnacentral:rRNA from 1 species